ACUCCUACGGGAGGCAGCAGCAAGGAAUUUUCCCCAAUGGGCGAAAGCCUGAGGGAGCAACGCCGCGUGGAGGACGACGGCCUUCAGGUUGUAAACUCCUUUUAGGUGGGACGAGGCCGGGACGGUACCCCAGGAAUAAGCCCCGGCUAACUACGUGCCAGCAGCCGCGGUAAAACGUAGGAGGCGAGCGUUAUCCGGAUUCACUGGGCGUAAAGCGCGUGUAGGCGGCAUGGUAAGUCGGCGCUGAAAGCUCCCGGCUUAACCGGGGGAUGCCGUCCAAUACUAUCGGGCUUCAGGCCAGUAGAGGGGGGUGGAAUUCCGGGUGUAGCGGUGAAAUGCGUAGAUAUCCGGAGGAACACCAGUGGCGAAGGCGGCCCCCUGGGCUGUGCCUGACGCUGAGGCGCGAAAGCUAGGGGAGCAAACCGGAUUAGAUACCCCGGCAGUCCUGGCCGUAAACGAUGGAGGCUCGGUGUGGGAGGCCGUGACUCGCUGGGUGCCUUAGCUAACGCGCCAAGUAUGCCGCCUGGGGACUACGGCCGCAAGCUCAAAACUCAAAGGAAUUGACGG
rnacentral:rRNA from 1 species